AAGCAAUGAAAUGCCGUGCCUGUCAAGAGGUGACUGCAUGGAGCUUCUCACAGGGGGUUGCACAGAUUCCACAACUUGACUGAGGCAGCAUCCUGCUGUUGAAAGAAAAUGUGCUGC
rnacentral:sRNA from 12 species